rnacentral:lncRNA from 1 species
GUGUCUAGCUCAGGGAUUGUAAACUGGCACCAAUCAGUGCCCUGUCAAAACAGACCACUCCGGCUCUACCAAUCAGCAGGAUGGGGGGGGGGGAGGGGGCAGAUAAGAGAAUAAAAGCAAGCUGCCUGGAGGCAUCAGUGGCAAUCCGGCAGGGUUCCCUUCCGCAGGGUGGAAGCUUUGUUUUUUCGCUCUUUGGGUCCACACGGCCUUUAUGAGCUGUAACACUUACCGCAAAGGUCUGCGGCUUCACUCCUGAAGCCAGUGAGACCACGAGCCCACCGGGAGGCAGGAACAACUCCAGACGCGCUGCCUUAAGACCUGUAACACUCACGGUGAGGGUCUGCAGCAUCACUCCUGAGCCAGCGAGACCACGAACCCACCAGAAGGAAGAAACUCCGAACACAUCCAAACAUCAGAAGGAACAAACUCCAGACGUGCCACCUUAAGAGCUGUAACACUCACCGUGAGGGUCCGCGGCUUCAUUCUUGAAGUCAGUGAGACCAAGAACCCAUCAAUUCCGGACACACUAGGAAGAAGGAAAGAAAUUGAACAACUAUCCACACGAAAAAUCACUGUCAUAAGAAACAAAAAUCAGGGAAUUCUUUCAGAUCUUGUCAAAGACAACCAUGGAAAUACUUCUACAAGUCUGCAAGAGCCACAGUGUCAUUGGUCUUGGGGUGUCCCCUAAUGCAGGUAUGGCUGAGUGACCAAAGACUUAGAUCAAAACAUCCAAGUUUCACUGAAUACCUGGAAGGCCAUCCCAAGAAGGACUAGUACACAAAAGCUCACAAUGUGAAAACUACAGUAAAUACAUAAUUCUUCAAUGCCUGAACACUGACGAAUAUGCACAAGCAUCAAGACCAUCCAGGAAAAUAUGACCACACAAAAUGAACUAAAUAAGACACAAGGGACCAAUUCUAGAGAAAGAGAUAUGUGACCUUUCACAUAAAGAAUUCGAAACAGCUAUUUUGAGAAAACUCAACAAAAUUGAAGAUAACAGAGAAAAAAGUUUCAGAAUCCUAUCAGUUAAAAUUUAAAAAGAAAUUUGAAAUAAUAAAAAAGAAUCAAGCAGAAAUUCUAUAGCUGAAAAAUGCAAUUGACAUACUAAAGAUUGCAUCAAAGUGUCUUAACAGCAGACUUGAUUAAGCAGAAGAAAGAAUUAGUGAGCUUGAAGACAGGCAAUUUGAAUGCACAGUCAGAGAAGACAAAAGAAUAAAAAAGAAUGAAGCAUGCCUACCAGAAAUAGAAAAUAGCCUAAAAAGGGCAAAUCUGAGUUGUUGGCAUAAAGACAAGGUAGAGAGAGAGAGAGAGUGAUCAGAGUAGGAAGUUUAUUUAAAGAAGUAAUCACACAAAACUUCCCAAACCUAGAGAAAACAUCAAUAGUAAAGUAAAAGAAGGUUAUAAAAUACUGAGCAGAUAUAACUCAAAUAAGACUAUCUAAAGACAUUUAAUAAUCAAACUCCUGAUCAUCAAGGAUAAAGAAAUGAUCCCAAAAGCAGCAAGAGAAAAGAAGCAACAUACAAAAGAGCUCCAAUAUGUCUGGAAGCAGACUUCUCAGUGGAAACCUUACAGGUCACGAGAGAGUGUCAUGACAUGCUUAAAGGGAUAAAAGUAAAAAAACCCUUUUAUCCUAGAAUAGUAUAUCCAACAAAAAUACCCUUCAAACAUGAAGGAGAAAUACUUCCCUAGACAAACAAAAGCUGAGGGAUUUCAUCAAUACCAGACAUGUACUACAAGAAAUGCUAAAGACAGCUUUUCAUUCUAAAAGGAAAAGAUGUUAAUGAGGAAAUCAUCUGAAAGUACAAAACUCACAGAUAAUAGUAAGUACGCAGAAAAAUACAGAAUAUUAUAACCCUGUCACUGUGGUGUGUAAAUUACUUAUCUCUUGAGUAGAAAGACUAAAAGAUGAACCCAUAAAAAAUAAUAACUGCAGCAAAUGUACAAGACCUAGACAGUAAAAUAAUCUAUUAAUAGAAAUAAGAGAAAGUUAACAACUGGGAAGACAAAGUUCAGGUGUAAUAUUUUCAUUAGGUUUUUUUUUUUUGCUUGUUAGUUUGUUUAGGCAAUCAGUGUUAAGUUGUCAGUUUAAAAUAAGAUAUGAAUGGAGACCUCAUGGUAACCGUAAAUUAAAAAAAAUACAAAGAAAAAUGUACACAAUAAAGAAAACACAAGAAAUUAAAGCAUACCAUGAAAGAAAGUCAACAUCACUAAAAAGAAGACAGGAAAGAGAGAAGGAAGAUAAGACCACAAAACAAGCAGAAAACAAAUAACAAAAUGGCAGGAGUAAGUGCUUACUUAUCAAUAAUAACAGUAAAUGUAAAUGUACUGAACUCUACAAUUAAAAGACUUAGAGUGAUUGAAUGUAUUAAAAAAAGAAGAUUAAAUGUUUUGUUGCCUACAAGAAACACACUUCAACUGUAAAGACACAAAUAGACUGUAAAUGAAGUGAAAAAAAUACAUUUCAUGCUAAUGGAAAUGAAAAAAUAGCAGAAAUAGCUGUGCCUGUAUCAGACAGAAUAGAUUUCAAGAUAAAGACCAUAAACAGAGACAAAAAAAGUUAUUUUGUGAUGAUAAAGGGGUCAUUCCAGCAAGAAGAUAUAAAAAUUAGAAAUACAUAUGCACCCAGCACUAGAGGACCCAGAUAUAUGAAGCAAGUAUUAUUACAGAAAAGAGAGAAACAGACUUUAAUAAAAUAAUAGCUGUAGACUUCAGCACCUCACUUUCAGUGUUUGACAGAAAAUCAUCAAAGAAAUGUCAAACAUUAUCUGCACUAUAGAACAAACAGACCUAAUAAAUAUUUACAGAAUAUUUUAUACAACAGCUGCAGAAUACACGUUCUUCUCAGCACAUGAAUUAUUCUCAAGGAUAGACCAUAUGUAGGUCACAAAGCAAGGUUAAAUAAUUCAAGAAAGUUGAAAACAUAUCAAGUAACUUCUUGUACCACACUGGAAUAAAAUUAGAAAUUAGUAACAAAGAAUUUUGGAAAUUAUGCAAACACAUGGAUAUUAAUCAUUAUGUUCUUGAAUGACCAGUGAGUCAAUGAAAAAAGUAAGAAUAAAAUUUAAAUUCUUCUUGAUAGUAUGAAAAUAGAAACACAACAUAUCAAAAUUUACAGGAUACAGCAAAAGCACAACUAAGAGCAAAGUUUCCAGCUAUAAAGUGCCUCCAAUUUAAAAAGUAUAUAAACUUCAAAUAAACAACCUAACAAUGCAUUUUAAAGAAUUAGAAAAGCAAGAGCACACAGAACCCAAAAUUAGUAGAGAGAAAAAAUAAUAAAGAGCAGAACAGAAAUAAAUGAAAUUGAAAUGAAGAAAACAACCCAAAAGAUCAACAAAAUGAAAAGUUGGCUUUUUGAAAAGAUAAAAUCGACAAAUUGUUAGUCAAACUAAUAAAAAAAAGAGAAGUCCCAAAUAAAUAAAAUCAGCAAUGAAAAAGAGACAUUAAAACCACUGCUUCAGAAAUUCAAGGGAUUGUUAGAGGCUGUUAUGGGCAGCUAUAUACCAAUAAAUUGGAAAACCUAAAGGAAAUGGAUAAAUGCCUAGACACAUAUUACCUACCAAGAUUAAACCAUGAAGAAAUCCAAAACCUUAACAGACCAAUAACAAGUAACAAAAUGGAAGCCAUAAUAACAAAUCUCCCAGCAAAUAAAAGCCUGGGGCCCUAUGGCUUCACUGCUGAAUUUUAAGAAACAUUUAACGAAGAUACAAUACCAAUUCUACUCAAACUAAUCUGAGAAAUAGAAGAGGAGGGAGUACUUUCAAAUUCAUUCUACAAGGUCAGUAUUACUCUGAUACCAAAACUUAGCAAAGACACAUCAAAAAAGAAAACUAUUUCACAUUGCAGUAUCCCUGAUAAACUCUGAUGCAAAAAUCCUGAAGCUAAUACUAGCAAGCUGAAUUCACCAAUACACUGAAAAAAUCACUUAUUAUGGCCAAGUGAGAUUUUUCCCAGAGAGGCAAGGAUUCAACAAAUGCAAAUUAAUCAAUGUAAUAUAUCAAAAGAUUGAAGGACAAACAGCCCAUGAGCAUUUCAAUUGACUGUGAAAAACCAUUUUAUAAAAUCCAACAUUGCUUCAUGAUUAAACCCCUCAAAAAAUGGGUAUACAAGGAUCAUGCCUCAACAUAUACAAAAAGAAGCCACAUAGGACAGACAAUGAAUGGGGAAAAACUGAAAGCUUUUCCUCUAAGAUCUGGAAACUGACAAGAAUGCCGACUUUUACCACUUUUAUUCAACAUAGCACUGGCAGUCUUCCCUGGAGUAAUCGACAACAGAAAGAAAUAAAAACCUUCCAAAUUGGAAAGGAAUAAAUCAAAUUAUCCUUGUUUGCCGAUGAUAUCAUCAUAUAUUUGAAAAAACAAAAACACUUCACCAGAAAACCAUUAGAACUGAUAAAUUCAGUAAAGUAACAAAAUCAACAUGUAAGAAUCAGAAGCCUUUCUAUAUGCCAACAGCAAAUAAUCUGAAAAAGAAAUCAAGAAAGUAAUCCCAUUUACAAUAGAUAAAAUAAAAUAUGCAUGAAUGAACUUAAUCAAAGAAGUGAAAGACUCUACUUUGAGGAAAAAAUUUACAAUUUCUGACAAACACUAUAUGACCUUGUAAUCGUACUUCAAAGUGUAAAAAAAUAAAAAUUCAUGUUUACACAAAAGCCUGUAUGCCAAUAUUUACAGAUGCUUCAUUCAUAAAUUCCUAGAAUUGGACACAUCUAUUUUGUUUUUCCUUUUAUAAUAAAUUCUGGAAAAUAUAAAUGUAUUGGGAUAAAACAAUAGUUGGGUGUAAUAGUUAAGUACAGGAGUGUCAUGCAAGGAAUAUUUUCAGGGGAAGUAAUGAUCAUGGGUGGGGAUGGUAGAUGCAUGGCUCUAACUCUAGAUUUCAAUUUAGAUUUGUCAAAAAUCAUGGAACUGUGCACCACAAAGAAUGAACUUUCCUGCAUGAAAAUUAAAAUCAAAUCAAUGAGCAUUAGGGUAUUUCACAGGAAGAAAUGCAUACUGUGACAAAUGAAUCUCAUUGUUUUACAAAUAUAUACUAUGUUAUAACACCAUUAAAAAGUGAGAAUAAAGGAGCUAACUCUGGAAAAUAGCAUUUUAAUCAGACACUAUGAGGGGAAAACUGAAAAAUAAUUGUAUGUAAAUAUUCUUUUUGGGGGUAUUUUUUCUCAUAGGAGUACUGAUUAGAAAUUAAGAAACCAUAUUGUAUUCGUAUUGACUUUGAACACUCGAGUAAAAGGAAUAUUCAUUAAUUGUGGUGUGACUUUAGUAUAUGUCAGGAACUCUUUGAUAGUUCUUACUCCAGAUGUGACAGCUUAGUUUUCCUCCACUUGAGUGUAGGCCAGCUUAAUGAUGCUCCUCUAACCAAUAGAAUGGGAAGGGAAAAAUAAAGUGGGACAAUGUAGUAGACACCACCAUGACCAAGUGGUCAAAUUUAACUCAUCCAUAAAAAGCCAUCAUUCUCGCUCUGAGAUGAUGCAUUGAAAAGAUCACUUUAGUUCUGCGGUAUUCUUCCAUAAAUUAUGAAACUUCAAUCUAAUCAUAAGAAAACAUCAGUGAUAUCCAAAUUAAGGGUCAUUGUGCAAAAUACCUAACCAAUACUCUACAAAAGUACAUUAGUGGAAAAAUAGUGAAUCAGAAUAAAGUCUGUGAUUUAUAGUAUUGUACCAAUUUUAGUUUCAUAGUUAUGAUAAAUGCAUCAUGAUUACAUAUGAUGUUAACUUUAGGAGAAUUAGGGGAAGGCUGUAUAGAAGCUCUCUGUAUUGUAUUUACAACUCAUCUCUAAAUCUGAGGUUAUUUCAAAACAAAAGUUUAAAAAUAUAGAAAUUCCUAUGGUAAUCAAGUCUCCAAAGUUAGGAAAUAAACAACCCAAUGAAUAUUGACCAAAUAUUUAAAUUUUUUUGGCAAGGAAUUUAUAGUGAUAGUAAAUGAGUAUAUGAAAAAAUGUACAGCAUCAUAAUGGAAAUAAAAAUUCAAACCAAAAUGAGAUUUAGUUACAUAUUUGUUGGAAUGGCUAAAAAUAAUGACUGACUGUGUCAGUCAUGGAGCAACUUAAACUCUAAAACUGAUGGUAUACUUUAAAGCUUAAGCUGCAGCAAUAUGAUGACUUAGCCACUUCUAUCUUAGACAUUUAAGCAAGAGAAAUGAAAAUCUGUGUUGAUAUAGAGACCUGUUUACAAAGUGAAGUUUACAAUAGCUUUAUUUGUAAAAGUCAGUAAUUAAAAAUAUACCAAUGUCCAUGCAUAGAUGACAGUAAACCUUUUGUGAUACAUUGAGAUUAUGGAAUAUUACUUGUCCAAUAAAGGAGUGAAAAAUUUAUACACAUGACAACUUGGAUGGAUCUCAAAAUAAUUACUUUGAAUGAAUAAAGCCAACAACAGAGUACAUACUAUAUGGUGUUAUUUCUCAAAAUUUUUUAUGAAGUUAAAAUUAAUGGGUAGUGACAGAAAGUAGAUCAUGAAUAUUUCUGUGAAGGAAAAAUAAGCUAACUGCAAAAUUUUAACACUAUUCCUUUGCUACCAUGGUUUUUUUUACAUAGAUUAUCUUUUUUCAUGGCUAUCCUGCACGUCGUAGGUGCCCUCUAGAAACUUCCUCUUUGAUGCAAUUAUACAUUUUUUCACUGAACAAAACUCAAGUGUAUCAUAUUGCUGAUGGUACCCUGCGGGUAUCAUUCAUACACCUCAACAUCGGUUAGCAGAAUCAUCUCCAACUGCACAGAAUGCUAAGUGAAGCAAUUUAUUCACUGCAAGUUUAGAAAGCAGUUAGUGGUGAGGAGAAAAAUCAAAAGCUUCUCCUCAAAUUAUAAUGAUCUCAAUUAUGUAUAAUAUUGAAAAAGAACUACUGAAUAAAAUAUCCCAUGCAGUAUUUAUUUCAGUUCUUACUUAACUUUUUCUUAUUUUAACCAUGUAUGAAUAUUGCAUCUUUUGCUAUUUACUCUAAUUUUGAGGAAUGAUUUUAGUGACAUUUUAUGUCUUAUCUGCAACAUUGUCUAGCAGAAAAUAACAGGUUGUUAUGAUAACCACUACAUACUUGAAUGCUUUAGGUUAUAAUAUAAAAUAAAUGAAAAUAUCCCUAUAGACAGUAAGGAAUAUUACAUAAGAUGAUUAAAAUGAAUCAAAAUUAAAUUAAUAUGAAAAUGAUGAAAUCAGCAAGUAUCUCAAAGUGGAUAGGAAAUAUAUUUGAAUUAAUGAAUAACCUACUCUUUAAUAAUAAUGUUUCAUAAAUGUUUCAAAUGUAAAUUGCUUAAUAACACAAGUGGGAAUAACAUGAAAUAUGAACAAUUGGAAACAGUAUUAGUUCUCAGUAACAUGUUUUAAUAAUAUUCAAGGAAAAGCCAGAAGAAAGAGCAAAUAUUUUAUGACUAUAAAUAUUCUCACCUUCAGAAUUUCACAGAUGGCAUAAAAGACAAAAUUACAUUCUAUCUCUUCUUUUUAGGUAAAAUUAACUUCAUUUCUUGCCAUAAACUUUCUACAUUGCACACUGAAGAGUAGAAAUUGUGAGUAAUCUUAUGUGCUGUAUCAGUGAAGACAUGUCUUCCAAAAUAACAUGCUUACUUUGGAUUAAGAAAUACAUCUUAAUGUGUGAUAUGAAGGAGACAACUAAUGUUCAUGCAGAGUUUUCGUUCAUUCAACUUUCACAAAGAGGAUUCUGUUUUUCUCCUCUAGUCAUUCUCCCGGAAUACUGUUUUUUAUUCUCCUUAUAUCAGUAACAGAAUAAGAAGGGGUAGGAAGAAAACAUAGCAAAGGCAGAGAUUAUAAAAAAACGAAAGGAAAAUGUUGGCUGUGACAGAUAUGUUAAUACCUUUAUUAUUGUGAUGGUUCUGUAGUUGUACACAUAUGUUAAAACAUAUCAGAUUGUGCACCUUAAAUAUUGCUGUACAUUUUAUGAAAAGUGUACCUUUAUAAAGCUGUUAAAAUAUUAUUUGUAAUAACACAGGAAGUCAAAAAUCUAAUU